rfam:Gossypium hirsutum cultivar TM-1 chromosome 1, whole genome shotgun sequence
UCUUAAAAUUUUCAUCCAUUUGUACUGUUAAAAAUUGGCGUGACUGACAGAAUAACUAGACAAUAAUAUGUGAUGUACCGCGUGUACCUCAUGCUGAUGUAAAGGAACCAAUUUUUAGCAAUAGAAAUGGGUGAAAUUUUUAAUA